GCUCGGGUGGUGGAAUAGGUAGACACGCAGGACUUAAAAUCCUGUGGGCAGUAAUGCCUGUACGGGUUCGAUUCCCGUCCCGAGCACCA
rnacentral:tRNA from 1 species